AGAGAGCUCGAGGGGGCGGGGCUUUCAAGGCGGAUUGGAGUUGAGGUGAGGGCGUGGUGACGCCAGACGCAGCUUUGAACCGCUUCGUCAGGCAUCAGCCCUCCCGCCCAGCUCUGAGCCACCUGCAAACGGCCACGUGCCCCCACAUCAUUCAAAAAUCUUACUCACCUGAAUGGAUCCCAAAUUCUCAAUGAGCUGCUCUGCACUGGAGACGCCAAGGAGGACUGAGCUGACACCUUCCGAGCGGAGACACCACGCUUCGGGUGGGGAGCAGAAAGCGGAAGGUGGAUAGAGGAGAAGGGAGAUGGGAGAAUCGUGUUGGCCAGAAGAAAAAUCCCAACCUCUGUAUAGCAUAAUGGCUUCUUUACAUGAGCGCCUGCAGAACUAGCUCCUACUUCCUUUUGAUAAGAAACCUGUUCCGAUGCAAACGGGUCAUGGCCAAAGCAUGGGGGAAACAAAGCGCUUUGGGCAAUUAAAAACCUUUCCCAGACACA